AGAAUCGCCCUGGAAACGAGUUUCUGGGGUGCUUCUUGUAAGGAAUUUGGUCAAAGCAAAGAGAAGAGCAACCAGUUCACGGAUGAAAAUCAUCAGGAAGCCUUUGCUACGGUUUGGGGAAAACCUCGUGAGAUUCAGAGUAAUCCUGAAGAUGAGGGCCGGCCUCAUCCUCCACCCUGCAGACCCCACGCUGUGAGCUGAAUUUUGCUCAGGAAGAGUGACCAAAUACAAGAUCUUUUGAGAGAAUAUGAAUUCGUACAUGUUUCAGUCCAAGAUGACACAGCUUCUACCACCAAGUAGACACUGAGACAUGACAGCAUCGUUACUAUAAGGUGACCCUUCUCUAGUUUUCACCUCCCAUAUAAAACCCAGGAAGACUGACGCCAGGAAUCUUACCAUGCCAGCCAGAAUACUGAAGAUAAUUCAUAUCUCCAUUUAUCAUUCAUCAGAAUAGAACUCAAAUCUCCUAAAUUACAGGAAAGGCAAGAAAGCACUUCUCGGAUAUUGGGCCAACACUUCAAGAAAGAACCAUUGUAUAAAAGAGGACACUAGUAGCCUGUGUUUUCAAGUUGUUACGUAGAUUCUUCGUCAUCCACUUAGCAG
ensembl:processed_transcript 4930517O19Rik RIKEN cDNA 4930517O19 gene